CAUCAAACAGCAGUGGCCAGAGUGAACAGAGAGCAGCUGGAGGAACGAGCAAGGUGCCUUUUUGCCCCCCACCUGGGAGGUGUACUCACGUGAAAGCACCUCUGAACUCUGAAUCUCCCCUUAUCAAGGACAACACCGGAAUCACCAAUCAACUCCAGGGAAAUGGAAGCAACCCUCAUGUUGUAUUGCAGCAGCUGGGUGAAUCAGCAUUUAACCCUUCAAUAGUUUUCUGACGGCCUCAAACAUAUCUUUGGAGAACCUUCUGCAUUUGCAAUGGAGACCAACCAGAAGAAAUGCUUUACAAAGCGUGCAGCUCCAUGGUUGCGGGACCACAGCCAAAUUUUGGUUAAUCUCUGGUGCGAUGCCAACAAACAAGUGGAUUUUAGUAAGAGUACCAGAAUGAUCAUGCAUAGCAGCAAAUAGCGAAGAAGCUGGCAGCACUGGACAUUUUUUGGACCAGUGACCAGCAUAGCAAGUGUAUGAAAUGGCUCAAGACUGAGUGAGUACCAGAAAACCAGGGACCAGAACCACACCUGAGACAACUCACUGACAUUAUGCCCAUUUUAUGAUGUGUUUGAUCUGGUGCUGGGUACUGCAUCAAACAUGGAGCCAAUGGUGGUACAAUAUGACCUGGUCAACUGGGAUGGUGACCUCCUGGCCCAGAGUCCAGCUUGGGGACCAAUGUGAGCCAGCAGCAGAUUCCAAGUAAGGCCAUCAAAGUGACUCUGGUUGCUGAAACUGGUCCCAGAGAAGGCUUUGUUGCAGGAGCAGGAGCAGCACAUCCUGGGGCCAUAUGCAGAGGAGCUUUCUCAUGCUCCCCACUGAGGAAGAGCUCGGCAUGGAACCAGCAGCAGAUAUAGAAGGGACAGAAGACACCCUGAAGCCUGUUUGCUUAAACUUGGAUUCUUGGAACCUAUCUGGAUUGUGCUGCGACAUCUGAAUCCUAGAGAUCAAUUUAUAGUCGUUAAAGAUCAUGAAGAAUUGUCCAUUAAAACAGUUAGUAUUUGACAAAUAACAACAUCUGUGUUUAGGAUGGAAAUUGAUCAAACAGACAGAUCACUUAUUCCUGAUGCCCAAAUGAAAGUCUGCUUGAACAAACUUAUUAGUCAGUGUCCUGAUCUUAACAGGUUGCCUUAUUAAAUAACUCUAGAUGUAUUAAAAUCACACCCUAAUGUGAUAGCACCAUGAAAUAAAUACCUGUGUCUAAAUGACAGUUGUUAGGCCAACAAUUACUAAAAACUGAAAUAUACAGAAAACAAACUUUGAUUUUCAAUAGGAAGUUUCUAUAUCACAGAUGAAUCUAAGAAUCAGACUUGAAUGAGUGUGUACACAUAUAUUGCAUUUAGACAUAUGAAACAGGCAGAUUAUCAGUAUUGUUUAUACUGUGCUACAGCCAAUGUGCUGCAUCACUGAAGUCAGUGU